UGGGGAAUAUUGCACAAUGGGGGAAACCCUGAUGCAGCAACGCCGCGUGAGUGAUGACGGUCUUCGGAUUGUAAAGCUCUGUCUUUGGGGACGCGGUACCCAAGGAGGAAGCCACGGCUAACUACGUGCCAGCAGCCGCGGUAAUACGUAGGUGGCAAGCGUUGUCCGGAUUUACUGGGCGUAAAGGGAGCGUAGGCGGAUUUUUAAGUGGGAUGUGAAAUACUCGGGCUCAACCUGGGUGCUGCAUUCCAAACUGGAAAUCUAGAGUGCAGGAGGGGAGAGUGGAAUUCCUAGUGUAGCGGUGAAAUGCGUAGAGAUUAGGAAGAACACCAGUGGCGAAGGCGACUCUCUGGACCAACACUGACGCUGAGGUGCGAAAGCGUGGGGAGC
rnacentral:rRNA from 1 species